CAGGGCUUGACAUCCUCUGACUGACCUAGAGAUAGGUAGCUCCCUUCGGGGACAGAGAGACAGGUGGUGCAUGGUUGUCGUCAGCUCGUGUCGUGAGAUGUUGGGUUAAGUCCCGCAACGAGCGCAACCCCUACUGUUAGUUGCCAGCAUUAAGUUGGGCACUCUAGCGGAACUGCCGUUGACAAAACGGAGGAAGGUGGGGAUGACGUCAAAUCAUCAUGCCCCUUAUGUCCUGGGCUACACACGUGCUACAAUGGCCUGUACAGAGGGAAGCAAAGCCGUGAGGUGGAGCAAAUCCCACAAAGCAGGUCUAAGUUCGGAUUGUAGGCUGCAACUCGCCUACAUGAAGUCGGAAUCGCUAGUAAUCGCAGGUCAGCAUACUGCGGUGAAUACGUUCCC
rnacentral:rRNA from 1 species